rnacentral:rRNA from 1 species
UAAGGUUAAGUUAAUAAGGGCGCACGGUGGAUGCCUUGGCACUAGGAGCCGAAGAAGGACGUGACAAACGACGAAAUGCCUCGGGGAGCUGUAAGUAAGCUUAGAUCCGGGGGUGUCCGAAUGGGGGAACCCAGCAGGUGAUACCUGUUACCCAUAUCUGUUAAGGAUAUGAGGAGGAAGACGCAGUGAACUGAAACAUCUAAGUAGCUGCAGGAAGAGAAAGCAAAAGCGAUUGCCUUAGUAGCGGCGAGCGAAACGGCAGGAGGGCAAACCGAAGAGUUUACUCUUCGGGGUUGUAGGACUGCAAUGUGGACUCAAAGAUUAUAGAAGAAUGAUUUGGGAAGAUCAGCCAAAGAGAGUAAUAGCCUCGUAUUUAAAAUAGUCUUUGUACCUAGCAGUAUCCUGAGUACGGCGGGACACGAGAAAUCCCGUCGGAAUCUGGGAGGACCAUCUCCCAACCCUAAAUACUCCCUAGUGACCGAUAGUGAACCAGUACCGUGAGGGAAAGGUGAAAAGCACCCCGGGAGGGGAGUGAAAUAGAACCUGAAACCGUGUGCCUACAACAAGUUCGAGCCCGUUAAUGGGUGAGAGCGUGCCUUUUGUAGAAUGAACCGGCGAGUUACGAUAUGAUGCGAGGUUAAGUUGAAGAGACGGAGCCGUAGGGAAACCGAGUCUGAAUAGGGCGUCUUAGUAUUAUGUCGUAGACCCGAAACCAUGUGACCUACCCAUGAGCAGGUUGAAGGUGCGGUAAAACGCACUGGAGGACCGAACCAGGGCACGUUGAAAAGUGCUUGGAUGACUUGUGGGUAGCGGAGAAAUUCCAAACGAACUUGGAGAUAGCUGGUUCUCUCCGAAAUAGCUUUAGGGCUAGCGUCGACAUAAAGAUUCUUGGAGGUAGAGCACUGUUUGGGUGAGGGGUCCAUCCCGGAUUACCAAUCUCAGAUAAACUCCGAAUGCCAAUGAAUUAUGGUCGGCAGUCAGACUGCGAGUGCUAAGAUCCGUAGUCGAAAGGGAAACAGCCCAGACCACCAGCUAAGGUCCCAAAAUAAUUGUUAAGUGGAAAAGGAUGUGGGGUUGCACAGACAACUAGGAUGUUAGCUUAGAAGCAGCUAUUCAUUCAAAGAGUGCGUAAUAGCUCACUNNNNNNNNNNCGUAAGACUAAGGUUGCCAGGGGAAGGCUCGUCCGCCCUGGGUUAGUCGGGACCUAAGGAGAGACCGAAAGGUGUAUCCGAUGGACAACAGGUUGAUAUUCCUGUACUAGAGUAUGUAGUGAUGGAGGGACGCAGUAGGCUAACUAAAGCAGACGAUUGGAAGUGUCUGUCUAAGCAGUGAGGUGUGAUAUGAGUCAAAUGCUUAUAUCUUUAACAUUGAGCUGUGAUGGGGAGCGAAGUUUAGUAGCGAAGUUAGUGAUGUCACACUGCCGAGAAAAGCUUCUAGCGUUAAUUAUACUCUACCCGUACCGCAAACCGACACAGGUAGUCGAGGCGAGUAGCCUCAGGU